rnacentral:rRNA from 1 species
CCAGACUCCUACGGGAGGCAGCAGUGGGGAAUCUUCCGCAAUGGGCGCAAGCCUGACGGAGCAACGCCGCGUGAGUGAAGAAGGUCUUCGGAUCGUAAAGCUCUGUUGAUGGGGACGAACGUGCCUAAUGCGAAUAGUUUUAGGUAAUGACGGUACCCAUCGAGGAAGCCACGGCUAACUACGUGCCAGCAGCCGCGGUAAUACGUAGGUGGCGAGCGUUGUCCGGAAUCAUUGGGCGUAAAGGGAGCGCAGGCGGGCAUGUAAGUCUUUCUUAAAAGUGCGGGGCUCAACCCCGUGAUGGGAAAGAAACUAUGUGUCUUGAGUACAGGAGAGGAAAGCGGAAUUCCCAGUGUAGCGGUGAAAUGCGUAGAUAUUGGGAGGAACACCAGUGGCGAAGGCGGCUUUCUGGACUGCAACUGACGCUGAGGCUCGAAAGCCAGGGGAGCGAACGGGAUUAGAUACCCCGGUAGUCCUGGCCGUAAACGAUGGAUACUAGGUGUGGGAGGUAUCGACCCCUACCGUGCCGGAGUUAACGCAAUAAGUAUCCCGCCUGGGGAGUACGGCCGCAAGGCUGAAACUCAAAGGAAUUGACGGGGGCCCGCACAAG